rnacentral:misc_RNA from 1 species
AUAAUGUUGGAAAGUCAUGGUCCAUGCAUACCGUAACAAUACAUGACCUCCUGUUUCUGGCCCUAAGGAUGCUGUAUUUCAAUUGCUCUGUCUCAGGCAGGGAAUGUGGUAACAGGAGAGAUGGUAGAAGAGCUCAUCCUUUCUGGGGCUGACAUCAUCAAAGUGGGAAUUGGGCCAGGCUCUGUGUGUACUACUCGGAAGAAAACUGGAGUGGGGUAUCCACAGCUCAGCGCAGUGAUGGAGUGUGCAGAUGCUGCUCAUGGCCUCAAAGGCCACAUCAUUUCAGAUGGAGGUUGCAGCUGUCCUGGGGAUGUGGCCAAGGCUUUUGGUAAGGAGCUUGAGGGCACAGAAGGAUGAUUCUAUACAAGAGGAUGAAUCACCUCUGAGGGUCUAGGGUCAGGCUAAGAGAGGCUCAGGAAGUCAUUCAGAUUCUUUCAUAAUAUGAAUUAGUGACUCCGAAGUCUAUGGUAUCAUCUGGGGCAGCCAGCAGGGGACAUCUGAGACUCCAAGUGUGGGCCAGGGCCAUCUGACCAUCUCCUAGAUUGCUGCACAGUGCAGACUCCUGAGCCCCAGCCAUACCUAAAAAUAGGCUCUGAGGAAUGGGACAGCACAUCUGCAUUUUUCAUUUUGCACAGCUUCCCAGGAGAUCAUUACUCCCAUUAAAGUUGGGGAUCUUUGCUCUUGGGACACAUGAAAUGAGUCUUAUUUAGCUGGGCACA